GCAGGGUUUUUUUUUUUUUUUUUUUUUUUUUUUUUUUACUUUUUUUUUUUUACUCCCUUUUUCUUUUUUUUUUUUUUUUUUUUUUUUUUUUUUUUUUUU